rnacentral:tRNA from 1 species
GCCCCUCUAGCUCAACGGUCAGAGCAAAGGUCUUUUAAACCUUGGGUUGUGGGUUCGAAUCCCACGGGGGGCA